rnacentral:rRNA from 1 species
AGAGUUUGAUCCUGGCUUAGGAUGAACGCUAGCUACAGGCUUAACACAUGCAAGUCGAGGGGCAUCGAGAGGAAAGCUGCUUCCUGUCGGCGACCGGCGCACGGGUGAGUAACGCGUAUCCAACCUUCCCCUUAGUAGGGCAUAGCCCGGCGAAAGUCGGAUUAAUACCCUAUGUUUUCCGAUGAGGACAUCUGAGCUGGAAUAAAGAUUUAUCGCUAAGGGAUGGGGAUGCGUCUGAUUAGGUAGUCGGCGGGGUAACGGCCCACCGAGCCAACGAUCAGUAGGGGUUCUGAGAGGAAGGUCCCCCACAUUGGUACUGAGACACGGACCAAACUCCUACGGGAGGCAGCAGUGAGGAAUAUUGGUCAAUGGGCGAGAGCCUGAACCAGCCAAAGUAGCGUGCAGGAUGACGGCCCUAUGGGUUGUAAACUGCUUUUAUCGGGGGAUAAAGUGAGGGACGCGUCCCUUUUUGUAGGUACCCGAUGAAUAAGGACCGGCUAAUUCCGUGCCAGCAGCCGC